UUUUCCCUUUCAUAUUCACUUCCAGCUGACCCAGCUCAUCUUUCAAAUACUUCGAGCCAACCAUCUUCCUCCAAACUUCAUCCCAAGAUUAUAUUGAUCAGCAAUACAUACAACAAUACAAUCUUAAACCCGACCGACCCCACUCUGCUUCCUCCCAACGUGCUGCGAACAUCGACCCUGUUUUUACUUCAUUGCAGUGGAAAUCAUGGGCAGCAGUAGAAAAUCACGCGAAAUCAGUACACUCUUCCAACUACUAUGCAAACCCAUAACCUAGCAACCUAAUCGAUCAAAUUGUUGUCCUUUUUUUUUUUUAGAAGUCUUCAAUAUCUCUUCUAUAUAAAAUUUUGAUUAAUGAUUUUGCCCACCUCCCCCAAAUCAUCUCAUCUUUCCAUAUUAAUAGCCCUGUGUCUUAAGUAAUUAGUGAGAGGGAGAAAAAAAAUGGAUUUUGAGGUCAUAUUUGAAAAAGUAGUUCACAAUAUAUUUUUUGGAGAUUGAAUUAUAGUAUAAUAGUAUUUUGUAACUAGAGUUUUUGGGUUAGUUGUUUUGAAUCUCGGAUUUCCUUGUGCGCUGGUCAAAUAGCUCAUUCAAGCUCGUUGUCUUAAUCGCUGCUCUGGGAAAGGUUUGAAGGUAGAAAAAUGAGUUUGUAUACACUUGAUAUACGCCGAUAUACAUCAGAUGUAUACAAAAGGGGAAUUGAGCCAAGUGCUCAAAAUCAACAAUGAUUUUGGCCCACGAAGGAUCUAAGUUCAGUUUCUCCUUAAUUCUCCUAAAUUAUUUAAUUGUGAUCAUUUAUUGUUUGUUUUUAUUAACUUUGGCUUUGUUUGUAUUGGUUUUAACUUAAUCAAAUCCCCAAAAGAUGAACUA